rnacentral:rRNA from 1 species
UACGGGGGGGGCAAGCGUUGUUCGGAAUUACUGGGCGUAAAGGGCUCGUAGUCGGCCAACUAAGUCAGACGUGAAAUCCCUCAGCUUAACUGGGGAACUGCGUCUGAUACUGGAUGGCUUGAGUUUGGGAGAGGGAUGCGGAAUUCCAGGUGUAGCGGUGAAAUGCGUAGAUAUCGGGAGGAACACCAGUGGCGAAGGCGACUUCCUGGCCUGUUCUUGACGCUGAGGCGCGAAAGCUAGGGUAGCAAACGGG